ensembl:lncRNA LINC02609 long intergenic non-protein coding RNA 2609
CCCUUCCGAGGAGGCGGUGCUGGGGCGGGCGCAGGACUGCAGGCUGGGGCUCCGCUCCCCGGCGGGAGCCCGCGCGUGGUUCCCAGCGAAGUCCCCGCGCGGCUGGGCCCAGCGUGAGUAUUCUCCGCCCGCUGUCCUCCCCCUGGAGGCGGCAGCGCCCGUUUAUUUGAGGCUUCUAAUGUGAGGAAAAACACGGAAUGACAAGUGUGGGAAAGAGCAAGCACUAAAUUACUGUCAGAAAAAUAAACGGAGUAGCACAGUGCUGCUCGGUGAUUUACGGGGGCAAUUAGUCACCACCCCACGGCGCUGCUGAGGACAGCACGGCAGCAGACAAGUCAGGCCCAUGAGGAAGAAGAGGCUUUGCACUGCUCUCCAGACAACUUUUCAAACAACAAGAGAGGAUAUUUGAGCACAUUAGGUUUUGUGUCUUCAUUCUGGAGACUAAGUUAGAGACCCAGAUGGAGUGGACAUCUUGCCAUCUGUCCCGAAGCUGCAACUUUCCUGAUUCUCCUUGCUUUCAUCAAUGAAUGGCACUACCAUUGUCCUCAUACAGGAAUAUGGAUACCUAUUCCUGAAGAUUCAUCCUUUGCUAUUCCUCCCAAAUAUGGCUAGACAUUUUCACUUCUGGUUACAGUAUCAUAUUUCAGGGUGCAUUCAGAUGUAGAUUUCCAACCUGUCCUGAACAACAUAUUAACAUUACUCUAGUACAGGCCUACAAUCUCCAUAUGCAUCUCAACUCCUCUUUCUGCCACUGCAAUGCAGUGCCCAUGGCCUAUAGUUACCUAUGUGGGCUAAGUACUAUGCUAAGUGUUUUAUAUGGGUCUUUUCAUUUGAUGCAAACAAUGAUGCUAAGAGGUAGGCACUCUUUUUAUACCAGUUUCCAGGUACUUUGCUCAUGGUCACAUAGCUAGAGGAACUGGGAUUUGAAUCAAGAUAUUUGCAUUUAUCAUUCCAAUUCUUCACCCCUUCCUGUGUCCUUGCCUUUUGCCAUGUGACUUUGUAGUUCCCCUAUGAAGAGGUGGAAUCCAUUUUCCUACCCCUUGAUUCUAAGCUCAGCCAUGUGACUUGCUUUGGCCAAUGGGAUGAUAAUGGAUGAUAUAAACAGAAGCUUUUAAGUAA